rnacentral:rRNA from 1 species
GGGAGCUUGCUCCCUGAUGUUAGCGGCGGACGGGUGAGUAACACGUGGGUAACCUGCCUGUAAGACUGGGAUAACUCCGGGAAACCGGGGCUAAUACCGGAUGGUUGUUUGAACCGCAUGGUUCAAACAUAAAAGGUGGCUUCGGCUACCACUUACAGAUGGACCCGCGGCGCAUUAGCUAGUUGGUGAGGUAACGGCUCACCAAGGCAACGAUGCGUAGCCGACCUGAGAGGGUGAUCGGCCACACUGGGACUGAGACACGGCCCAGACUCCUACGGGAGGCAGCAGUAGGGAAUCUUCCGCAAUGGACGAAAGUCUGACGGAGCAACGCCGCGUGAGUGAUGAAGGUUUUCGGAUCGUAAAGCUCUGUUGUUAGGGAAGAACAAGUACCGUUCGAAUAGGGCGGUACCUUGACGGUACCUAACCAGAAAGCCACGGCUAACUACGUGCCAGCAGCCGCGGUAAUACGUAGGUGGCAAGCGUUGUCCGGAAUUAUUGGGCGUAAAGGGCUCGCAGGCGGUUUCUUAAGUCUGAUGUGAAAGCCCCCGGCUCAACCGGGGAGGGUCAUUGGAAACUGGGGAACUUGAGUGCA